AAAAGGGUGGUGAUGAGCUGUGGAUAGGGGAGAAAUUCCAAUCGAACUCGGAGAUAGCUGGUUCUCCCCGAAAUAGCUUUAGGGCUAGCCUCGGCGUUAAGUUUACUGGAGGUAGAGCACUGAAUAUCUGCGGGGGCGUCAAAGCCUACCAAUGAUUAUCAAACUCCGAAUGCCAGAUAAAUAUAGCCGGGAGUCAGACUGCACGAGAUAAGUUGGGUAGUCAAAAGGGAAACAGCCCAGAUCUACGAUUAAGGUCCCAAAGUGUAUGUUAAGUGGUAAAGGAUGUGGGGUUUCAUAGACAACCAGGAUGUUGGCUCAGAAGCAGCCAUUCAUUCAAAGAGUGCGUAAUAGCUCACUGGUCGAGAGGUCCUGCGCCGAAAAUUAACGGGGCUCAAACAUACCACCGAAAUCUAGGGAUUGUACUAUGUACAAUCGGUAGGGGAGCAUUCUUAGCGCAGCGAAGCUACACCGAUAAGGAGUAGUGGAGUGCUAUGAAGAGAGAAUGCCGGAAUGAGUAGCGAGAAUUAGGUGAGAAUCCUAAUGGCCGAAUAUCCAAGGUUUCCAGGGUAAAGCUGAUCUGCCCUGGGUUAGUCGGGUCCUAAGACGAGGUCGAAAGACGUAGCCGAUGGACAGCAGGUUGAUAUUCCUGCACCUCUUAUGAAUCAGAACUGUAGUGACGCGGAAGGAUAACGAAAGCUGGGAAUGGAAAGACCAGUUGCUUUAUUUGGGAAGUCUGAUAGGCAAAUCCGUCAGAAUAAUUCUUGAGUAAGGCGGGAGCGAAAUUUAAAGUAGUGAAGUUCGUGAAUCCAUGCUGCCGAGAAAAGCUGCUAUUGUGUCAUAAGAGCCCGUACCGUAAACCGACACAGGUGGAUGAGGAGAGAAUCCUAAGGCCGGCGAGAGAAGCAUUGUUAAGGAACUCGGCAAAAAUACCCCGUAACUUCGGAAGAAGGGGUGCCAUCCUCCGGGAUGGCCGCAGUGAAAAGGCCCAAGCAACUGUUUAGCAAAAACACAGGUCUAUGCGAAACCGAAAGGUGAUGUAUAUGGGCUGACGCCUGCCCGGUGCUGGAAGGUCAAUGGGAGAUGUUAGGAGCAAUCCGAAGCGUUGAACUCAAGCCCCAGUGAACGGCGGCCGUAACUAUAACGGUCCUAAGGUAGCGAAAUUCCUUGUCGGGCAAGUUCCGACCCGCAUGAAAGGCGUAAUGAUUUGGGCACUGUCUCGACAAUGCACUCGGUGAAAUUGAAGUGCCAGUGAAGAUACUGGUUACCCGCGCCAGGACGGAAAGACCCCAUGGAGCUUUACUUCAGUUUGAUACUGGGAUCCGGUACUACUCGCACAGGAUAGGUGGGAGGCUAGGAAGCAUGAGUUUUGGCUUAUGCAGAGCCGAUGUUGGGAUACCACCCCUGCAGUACUGGAUUUCUAACGGGAGCCCGUAAACCGGGCACCGGACAAUGUCAGGCGGGGAGUUUGACUGGGGCGGUCGCCUCCGAAAGUGUAUCGGAGGCGCUCAAAGGUUCCCUCAGGAUGGUUGGAAACCAUCCAUAGAGUGCAAAGGCAUAAGGGAGCUUGACUGCGAGGGAGACAUCUCGAGCAGAUACGAAAGUAGGACUUAGUGAUCCGGUGGUAUAAAGUGGGAUUGCCAUCGCUCAACGGAUAAAAGCUACCCUGGGGAUAACA
rnacentral:rRNA from 1 species